rnacentral:rRNA from 1 species
GGAUAGUGGCGACGGGUGAGUAACACGUGGGCAAUCUGCCCUGCACUCUGGGACAAGCCCUGGAAACGGGGUCUAAUACCGGAUACUGACCAUCUUGGGCAUCCUUGAUGGUCGAAAGCUCCGGCGGUGCAGGAUGAGCCCGCGGCCUAUCAGCUUGUUGGUGAGGUAAUGGCUCACCAAGGCGACGACGGGUAGCCGGCCUGAGAGGGCGACCGGCCACACUGGGACUGAGACACGGCCCAGACUCCUACGGGAGGCAGCAGUGGGGAAUAUUGCACAAUGGGCGAAAGCCUGAUGCAGCGACGCCGCGUGAGGGAUGACGGCCUUCGGGUUGUAAACCUCUUUCAGCAGGGAAGAAGCGAAAGUGACGGUACCUGCAGAAGAAGCGCCGGCUAACUACGUGCCAGCAGCCGCGGUAAUACGUAGGGCGCGAGCGUUGUCCGGAAUUAUUGGGCGUAAAGAGCUCGUAGGCGGCUUGUCACGUCGGUUGUGAAAGCCCGGGGCUUAACCCCGGGUCUGCAGUCGAUACGGGCAGGCUAGAGUUCGGUAGGGGAGAUCGGAAUUCCUGGUGUAGCGGUGAAAUGCGCAGAUAUCAGGAGGAACACCGGUGGCGAAGGCGGAUCUCUGGGCCGAUACUGACGCUGAGGAGCGAAAGCGUGGGGAGCGAACAGGAUUAGAUACCCUGGUAGUCCACGCCGUAAACGGUGGGCACUAGGUGUGGGCAACAUUCCACGUUGUCCGUGCCGCAGCUAACGCAUUAAGUGCCCCGCCUGGGGAGUACGGCCGCAAGGCUAAACUCAAAGGAAUUGACG